ensembl:lncRNA
GGCUGAGGUCCCAGAAGACUGGAGGCUUGCCAAUGUGACUCCCGUCUACAAGAAGGGCUGCAGGGAGGAUCCAGGGAACUACAGGCCUGUUAGCCUGACCUUGGUGCCAGGGAAGAUUAUGGAGCAGAUUGUCUUGAGGGAGAUCACGCGGCACAUGCAGGUCAACCGGGGGAUCAGGCCUAGCCAGCAUGGGUUCACGAAGGGCAGGUCCUGCUUGACCAACCUGAUCUCCUUCUAUGAUCCAGUGACCCGUCUGGUGGAUGAGGGAAAGGCUGUUGAUGUGGUCUACCUAGACUUCAGUAGAGCCUUUGACACUGUCUCCCACAGUAUUCUCCUCCA